rnacentral:rRNA from 1 species
CCUACGGGUGGCAGCAGUGAGGGAUAUUGGUCAAUGGGGGAAACCCUGAACCAGCAAAGCCGCGUGAGGGAAGACGGUUUUCGGAUUGUAAACCUCUGUCCUCUGUGAAGAUAAUGGCGGUAGCAGAGGAGGAAGCUCCGGCUAACUAAGUGCCAGCAGCCGCGGGAAUACGUAGGGAGCAAGAGUUGUCCGGAUUUACUGGGUGUAAAGGGUGCGUAGGCGGCUUUUCAAGUCAGAAGUGAAAGCAAUGGGCUUAACCCAUGAACUGCUUUUGAAACUGCAGAGCUUGAGUGGAGUAGAGGUAUGCGGAAUUCCCGGUGUAGCGGUGAACUGCGUAGAGAUCGGGAGGAACACCAGUGGCGAAGGCGGCCUGCUGGGCUCUAACUGACGCUGAGGCACGAAAGCGUGGGUAGCAAACAGGAUUAGAUACCCCAGUAGUC